rnacentral:rRNA from 1 species
UGGGGGAUAUUGCUCAAUGGGGGAAACCCUGAAGCAGCAACGCCGCGUGAAGGAAGAAGGUCUUCGGAUUGUAAACUUUUGUCUUCUGGGAAGAUAAUGACGGUACCAGAGGAGGAAGCCACGGCUAACUACGUGCCAGCAGCCGCGGUAAUACGUAGGUGGCAAGCGUUGUCCGGAAUUACUGGGCGUAAAGGGUGCGUAGGCGGGUGCGCAAGUCAGAUGUGAAAUCCCGGGGCUUAACCCCGGAACUGCAUUUGAAACUGUGCGUCUUGAGUGGAGGAGAGGUAAGUGGAAUUCCCAGUGUAGCGGUGAAAUGCGUAGAUAUUGGGAGGAACACCAGUGGCGAAGGCGACUUACUGGACUCUAACUGACGCUGAGGCACGAAAGCGUGGGGAGCAAACA